rnacentral:lncRNA from 1 species
GACUCGUGUACAGGCACCUCCUCUGCUUCCCAGAGCCCGUGCAGUGGAGCAGGCCGCUCAGGCUGAUCUCUGUAGAUGUGAGGAGGCACAAAAGGGACAGUUUAUUCUUUCGAAGUUGCUGGAACUGCUUGCAGUAAGAAAUAAAAGCUGUGCGUCAAUCAAGAAAACUAUUUCAAUUGUUCAGAACAUGCUGCUAAACUAACCUUUGCA